rnacentral:rRNA from 1 species
GAUCAUGGCUCAGGACGAACGCUGGCGGCGUGCUUAACACAUGCAAGUCGAACGAAGAGCGAUGGAAGCUUGCUUCUAUCAAUCUUACUGGCGAACGGGUGAGUAACGCGUAAUCAACCUGCCCUUCAGAGGGGGACAACAGUUGGAAACGACUGCUAAUACCGCAUACGAUCUAACCUCGGCAUCGAGGAUGGAUGAAAGGUGGCCUCUAUUUAUAAGCUAUC